rnacentral:rRNA from 1 species
UACAGAGGGUGCAAGCGUUAAUCGGAAUUACUGGGCGUAAAGCGCGCGUAGGUGGUUUGUUAAGUUGGAUGUGAAAUCCCCGGGCUCAACCUGGGAGCUGCAUUCAAAACUGACUGACUAGAGUGUGGUAGAGGGUGGUGGAAUUUCCUGUGUAGCGGUGAAAUGCGUAGAUAUAGGAAGGAACACCAGUGGCGAAGGCGACCACCUGGACCAACACUGACACUGAGGUGCGAAAGCGUGGGGAGCAAACAGGAUUAGAAACCCUGUAGU